UAUUAGGCAGCUUAUGUUUGGCUGUACUAAUUACGAGGCGGUUAUCUUCUUUCACAAACACCAACAGUGUGGCCCCCGUCAAACUGCCCAGACCUCCUGUAAUCUUUUCUCAUCAACCUCGCCUUGUCCUCCGCCCCAAACUUCACCGAGAUCGUCUGUGCUCCUAUCUCACCCUAACAAACUUCAGCGAGGUGUAUCCUAUCAGCAACGGAUCUUGAGAACAAGGCUAAAUAAGCCUCCGUUGACGAACAAUUCGAAUUAGCUAUCUCGAGAACGUAGGAAGGCUAAACAAGUCUUCCACGAGUUGCUGUUUUUCGCUUUCUCUAUCCGAAACCUCAUUUUUUUAUUGCUUAAUUCCAGUUUUUUUUUUCUAUAAUCGAAUUGAAUUGCAGAUUUCUGGUUUUGUAUUGGGCAAUUUUUGUUAUUUCCCUAAUUUUGUAUGGAAAAGGGUGAGGCAUUGUUGUAGGUUUCUAUAUACCUAUAAAAUUCACCGUCAAUUUGGUAUGAAGUCUGAAUCGCAGAAAAACAUGGAUCACUAUCAGGUACUUGGUCUGUCUUCUUCUGUGGAAUCAUUCGACUGUACAAAGCUAAGCGAAGCCGAGAUCAAGACAGCGUAUCACAAGAAAGCCCUUGAAGUACAUCCUGAUACAAUUACCAGGAAGAGGAAAAGAGAUGGGAUAAAUAGCAGCAGCAAUAUUGACAUGACUGCGGCUUUCCAGCAGGUUCAGUCUUCCUACGAGUUGCUGAUGGAUAAGGAAGCCAGGAAGAAAUUUGAUGCAUUAUGGUUAGUGCAGAAGGAGGAGAAGAUCAGGCGUGUAAAGCAAAGAGAACAGGGGAUGAGGAUGGAGCGCGAAAGGCAGGAGAAUAUAAGGAAGGAGAAAGAGCAGAGGUUGAGGAUGAGGAUGGAGAGAGAGCGGGAGAUAAUCAGGAUAGAGCGCGAAAGGCAGGAGAAUGAGAGGAGAGAAAAGGAGGAGUUGCAGAAGGUACAGGAAGAGGAAAGAUUAUUACAGGAAAAGCUUUUUGAAAAAAUCAAUGAAGAAAAAACCAGGGUUCUUGAUGAGGAGGUUUGGAUGAUUAAGUCCAAGACUUUGAGGGUUACUUGGAACAAGUUUGCAUUUGGGGAAUUUACAAGUGGUCAACUUAGGGAUGUGUUUGAAUACUUUGGAGAUGUAAAUGAUGUUAAGGUUAAUAAGACUAGCAACGAAGGUCAUGCCAUUGUUGUUAUGGCAUCCCAGGAAUCUGCCAUUGCUGCCACUGCCGCGAGAUGGGUUGAUAAUCCCGAUUCUCCUUUCGUUGUAAGACCCCUCAUUCUUUGUUAGGUUGUUGUUAGUCAAUUCAAUCAUACAUUUAGCAUGGUAUUAUAUCAUAAUGGAAAGAAUAUUUGAUUGUUGUUUAUGUAAACUUUCAACUUUGAUCUCCUCUUUGUCCUAUAUGUUGUGCAAUUUUAAUCCACAUGCUAGGAGUAAGACCUCGUUCUCUUCACCUGAUCUGGUUUGAUCACUCAAUUCUAACAUUAGAAUCAAGUUUGAGACCCUUGAGAGUAACUGCCUGAAGUUGUUCGAGGCAGAGCAACUUAAGGUGAAGGAUGCUUUUUCAAAACAUGGUGGACAGAUUUGCCUCUCGGUGGAUUUGCUUGUUGAUCAGAGACAAUAUUUGUUUAAGUGCUCAGUUCAUUGACGAUGAUUGGAAACUGCGAAAUUGGGUGAUUAGUUAUUGUAGUGAUACCGAUGAGGAUACGUUCCGUUCCUCCCAUCUGAAGCCAUUUUGAAGUCUCUGAAAGAAAAUAAUAUUGAGAGCAAAAUACUAACUUUGACUGUUGGUGGUAGUACUGACUUGGCUGAUGUUGUGAAUAAGGAGAAACACCCAAUGAAUGGCCAAUUGUUUCAUGUGCAGUGCAGUUGUGAUAUUAUAAGUCGGAUGGUUCAGUUAGGAUUUGAGGAGAUGAGUAAAAUCAUCGACAAAGUGCAAUUGUUGAGUUGGUCCAAAUCGUUGCCCUUAUGGUACCUCACAACUUCUAAGCUUUCAGACGCCUUACAUUGGAGGAAAUGGGUGAGGUUUCUUCAGUUGAAGAAGAUGGUUUUUAUGAAUUACCAUCAAAGGAAGAAUGGGAGAAAGUCAGGAAUGUGUGCAAAAUUGCUGAUAGAAUUUAUGGAAUUGUUGAAGGAUUUAUUUGAACAUAAGAGGCCAACGCCUAAUAUCUUAAUUUCUACCACACUUUCAGGAGAUUCGGGCUUAGUUUACACUUUAGAUGCAUUUGUGAGCCUUGUGGCACAGAAAGUGCUCGAUUUCUUCAAUAAGUACUGGGAGGAUACAUGUUUAGUGCUUUCAAUUACUGCAUUUCUGGAUCCACGUUACAAGAUGAAAUUCAUAGAACUUAAAAUUGUCCGCCUGACUCAAGGGCAACUACUUAUUUAGAGAACAUUCGCAAGGUAUAUGAAUAUAUGAUAGCUAUGUGGUGCAAUGUGAUCAAAAGGAGUAUGUAUUGAGUGAUUCAAGUUCUAAGUCUGAACACGAGGAAGAGGAAGAGGAGGAGGAAAUUGAGGAAGGGUCUGAAUGAAACACAGGCCAAGAAAAAAAUCCCAUGACAUUCUUCAAAACCCGAGUUUACUAAAAGAGUUGUCAGGCAAUGGAAUCUGCAAAUGAUAAGGCCCAAUAGACUAAAUUGGAUAUGUACCUAGAGGAGCCUAUCGUGCCAUGGAUGGGAAAUUUCAGCGUGCUGCACUGGCGGAAAGAUAGUAUCCUCAGCUCUCAAGGAUGGCUCGUGAGUCGUAACUUUCUAGCUAUUCCUAUGUCCGUUGCUUCUUCUUAUGAUCGAUGCAUACUGCACUGAGCAAAGGGAAGCUGCUGUCUCUGAAACCCGGACUGGUCGAUGAAUGCCUUGAAGUGCACUAGGAGUUGGAAACUCGGUGCUAGAAAACAAAUAUAACAAGACUUGCGCGCAGCUGCUGCUAGUAGGGGCUACUACCACCGCAAAAGUUCAUUUUGGCACGGUCACUGGAGGAACAUGGUUUUGGAAGCAUAAUUUUCCUUCCCCUUCUCUCUCCUCCGCCAUCCUCUAUGUCCUGUAAGCUUGAACCCCUGAAAUGCCGACUUCUUUUUCAAGGUCAAGAAAAUGGAUACGAUUUAUCCAGUGAGGUUAAUAAGAAGGUGCCUGCCAGAGGGGAAGCUUUGGUUCCUACUGAUUUGAGAAUUGGUGUUCCUCGAUCAAGGAACCUAUGCCUGAUUUGCUGCUGUGAUGAAAUCAUUACACAUUCCUAAAGGUGUACGCCGUGUGCUUUUCAGAACUCUAAACACAGAUAGGACAAUGUAGCUCUUGUUGUCAUAUUGGAGAUGGUGGGCAAUACUGCAGAGAGUGCUGCAUCCAUUUCCAGACUUGCACAAACAUGGUCGCUUAUCAGUUGCUUAUUAAAUUAUAUGGAUUAUAUCAGGAGGAAAACAGAAUUCUGGAAAGAAUGCAUCGUCAAAAGGUAGCAGAAGUUGAAAAGUUGAUACAAACAGUUCGCGAGCUUGAGGAAGCAGUGUUGGAUGGUGGAGCUGCUGCCAAUGUUGUGCGUGCUUACCAACGUAAAGUGCAGGAGAUGAAUGAUGAGAGUAUGAUAAAGUAAUGCCUGUAAAGCAAUGACAAUGAUAAAGUUGCUACUGUGGUGGCUAAUGAAUGGGAAGAUGGCAAUGAUAAAGUAAUGCCUGUAAAGCAAUGGCUGGAAGAGAAAAUAUUAUCAG